CUUCUGUGCAUCGCCAAUUAUGCUCUCAUCGAGGCCGAGCUUCGUUGUGUUCUCCAGCAAAUGUGUUUUGACUAGACCGUUAGUUGUGAUGACGAGUGGAAGGAUUGUCGAGCAGCUGGAAUGGUAACAUCAGCUAUAAUUAGUUUCUUGAGUGUUUUUUCGAAGAGAACAAUGUCGGGACGAUUGUGUGGAAUGGAUCUAUCUGUUACGAGUGGAUGGUCCCAAUAAAUCUUUACCUCUUCGUUUUCCAGGAUCUCUUUUGUGCUUGAUGGUAUGCCUUUGCCAUGGUGUUGUGGCGAUCAGUGUAUUCUCUAGGUGCGAGGAUGGAACAGGACGACGUGACAUGCUGUAUUGUCUCAGGUGAUAUUGAGCAUUUGCGGCAUCUAUCUGUGGUCAGAUUUUUCCCUAUUAUGUUUUUUAGAUAUGCUCUGGUGGCCACAACCUGAUCUUG